UGCAGUCGAACGGCAGCACAGUGGAGCUUGCUCCAUGGGUGGCGAGUGGCGGACGGGUGAGGAAUGCAUGGGAAUCUGCCCAGUCGUGGGGGAUAACGUAGGGAAACUUACGCUAAUACCGCAUGCGCCCUUCGGGGGAAAGCCGGGGAUCUUCGGACCUGGCGCGAUUGGAUGAGCCCAUGUCGGAUUAGCUAGUUGGGGGGGUAAUGGCCCACCAAGGCGACGAUCCGUAGCUGGUCUGAGAGGAUGAUCAGCCACACUGGAACUGAGACACGGUCCAGACUCCUACGGGAGGCAGCAGUAGGGAAUAUUGGACAAUGGGCGCAAGCCUGAUCCAGCCAUGCCGCGUGUGUGAAGAAGGCCUUCGGGUUGUAAAGCUCUUUUGUCCGGAAAGAAAAGCGCUGGGUUAAUACCCUGGUGUCCUGACGGUACCGGAAGAAUAAGCACCGGCUAACUUCGUGCCAGCAGCCG
rnacentral:rRNA from 1 species